AAGAGAACAUUCCAGAGAGUUUGUGUGGUCCCCAGGACACAGGUCAUGGCCUUUGUAAAAAGACAUGAAGUAUGUCACUGAGUGGGAAGGGAAGAGAGAGAAGCCAUUCCCAGGACAGCAGGCAGAGCAGGAAUCCACAGGGCACUCUGGAAGGAAGCAAACUCUUGGAGUCUAGGCUUUGCAGCAGAAUCAUCUGGAAGGCUUGUCAAAAUACAGGUGUCCGGGCUUCCCCCUAUAAAUGCUGACUCAGGAGGUCUGAGCUGGGGCCUGAGAUUCUGUAUUUGUCGCAGAUGCUAAAACUGCCAAUCAACGAAUCAUGCUUUCAGUAUCAUUGCUCAAUACCUAGAUUACACUUUGAGCAAAGGCACAAAUAUCUCACAUAUGAUCUCGUGUCCAGAAACAACCAGCAGCCCUCCCAGGGAUGUGAUAGCACAGUGUAUCCAGGUGUGAAGAGCCAGCCUCGGGCAGCCUGGCAGUUAGGAGCAUGGACUCCAAAGGUGCCUGGAGAACUCAAGGUCAAAUGUCUGAUACCUUCCUAGUGCUUUUCCUUCCACCAGAAUAUCAUCCCAG
rnacentral:lncRNA from 1 species